UGGGGAAUAUUGGACAAUGGGCGAAAGCCUGAUCCAGCCAUGCCGCGUGUGUGAAGAAGGUCUUCGGAUUGUAAAGCACUUUAAGUUGGGAGGAAGGGCAUUAACCUAAUACGUUAGUGUUUUGACGUUACCGACAGAAUAAGCACCGGCUAACUCUGUGCCAGCAGCCGCGGUAAUACAGAGGGUGCAAGCGUUAAUCGGAAUUACUGGGCGUAAAGCGCGCGUAGGUGGGUUGUUAAGGUGGAUGUGAAAUCCCCGGGCUCAACCUGGGAACUGCAUUCAAAACUGACUGACUAGAGUAUGGUAGAGGGUGGUGGAAUUUCCUGUGUAGCGGUGAAAUGCGUAGAUAUAGGAAGGAACACCAGUGGCGAAGGCGACCACCUGGACUAAUACUGACACUGAGGUGCGAAAGCGUGGGGAGCAAACA
rnacentral:rRNA from 1 species